rnacentral:rRNA from 1 species
AGUGAACGCUGGCGGUAGGCCUAACACAUGCAAGUCGAACGGCAGCACAGUAAGAGCUUGCUCUUACGGGUGGCGAGUGGCGGACGGGUGAGGAAUACAUCGGAAUCUACUUUUUCGUGGGGGAUAACGUAGGGAAACUUACGCUAAUACCGCAUACGACCUACGGGUGAAAGCAGGGGAUCUUCGGACCUUGCGCGAUUGAAUGAGCCGAUGUCGGAUUAGCUAGUUGGCGGGGUAAAGGCCCACCAAGGCGACGAUGCGUAGCUGGUCUGAGAGGAUGAUCAGCCACACUGGAACUGAGACACGGUCCAGACUCCUACGGGAGGCAGCAGUGGGGAAUAGUGGACAAUGGGCGCAAGCCUGAUCCAGCCAUACCGCGUGGGUGAAGAAGGCCUUCGGGUUGUAAAGCCCUUUUGUUGGGAAAGAAAAGCAGCAGGUUAAUACCCCGCUGUUCUGACGGUACCCAAAGAAUAAGCACCGGCUAACUUCGUG